UUAAAUAGUUUUUGUCUUGGACUAUAAAAUUAUGAAAGGGGUUUAUACAUAGAAAAUUUGUUGGAUUAUAAAAAAUAAUUAUAUUAAUUAAAUAAUUUCUGGUAUUGAAAAUUUUAGUGAAUUUCGACAGAAAGAAAAAGAACUCUUUUAAAAAGAAGAUAAUAUAAGUGCCAGCAUCUGCGGUUAUACUUAAUUUGGAAAUUUUUAGUUUAGAUUAAAUAAAGUGUUGAUUAAAACUUUAAACAACUUUGGUUUAAUAAAAUAAAGUUUAAAGUUUUAAUGUUUGUAAAGAAGAUUAAAAAAUUAGAUUAGAGACCUAAGUAUUCUUUUUUAAAAUUUCAAAAAUCUAAAUGAUCUUAAAAGACUUGGCGGUUACUCAACCCUGUUAAAGGAGCAUGRUUUAGAAGGGAUGYGCCCCCUAUUAAUUUGCCUUAGAUUAAAAGUAGGUGUAUGUCCAUGGAAGGAUUGUUAGUCGGGUAUGAUAAUUAUAGGAUCUUUCCUUAUGAAUUUCUUUAAGGUAGGUCAAUAUGCUGCUAUACUAAGGAAAAGUUGUGCUACUGAAUYGAAAAUGAAAAAAUUAAUUGUAAUUUAUUUUAAAAAAGGAUUUAAAAGUAAUAUUAAAUUAAUUAGUUAAUAUGAAAAGGUUAUGAGUUUCGUACACACCGCCCGUCGCCCUUUAGUAAGCUUUAGGUAAGUCGUAACAUGGUAAUUGUUCUGGAAAGAGCAGUU
rnacentral:ncRNA from 1 species